rnacentral:rRNA from 1 species
UGGGUGGAUUAGUGGCGAACGGGUGAGUAACACGUAGGUGACCUGCCCUAGAGAGGGGAAUAACCAUGCGAAAGCGUGGCUAAUACUCCAUACGGUCGGCUAUUCGUUUAGUCGAUUAAAGCUUCGGCGCUCUGGGAGGGGCCUGCGGCCCAUCAGCUAGUUGGUAGGGUAAUGGCCUACCAAGGCUAUGACGGGUAGCUGGUCUGAGAGGACGAUCAGCCACAAUGGGACUGAAACACGGCCCAUACUCCUACGGGAGGCAGCAGUGAGGAAUAUUGGACAAUCGACGAAAGUCGGAUCCAGCAACGCCGCGUGGAUGAUGAAGGCCUUCGGGUUGUAAAAUCCUUUUAAGAGGGAAGAGGAAGGACGGUACCUCUUGAAUAAGUCUCGGCUAACUACGUGCCAGCAGCCGCGGUAACACGUAGGAGGCUAGCGUUAUCCGGAUUUAUUGGGCGUAAAGCGCGCGCAGGCGGCUAGGUAAGUCGGGUGUGAAAGCUCCGAACUCAAUUCGGAGAGGUCAUUCGAUACUGCUUGGCUUGAGAGCGGGAGAGGGAAGUAGAAUUCUGGGUGUAGUGGUGAAAUGCGUAGAUAUCCAGAGGAAUACCAGUGGCGAAGGCGGCUUCCUGGCCCGUUUCUGACGCUGAGGCGCGAAAGCGUGG